CCAGAAGCCUGCCUGGCUAUAUGUGCCACAACCUGCUUUUUGUAUCCUCUAAAGAGACAGCUUGGGAGAAGCCCCGGCUCAUUCUAGUCACAUGAUUGCAAAGAUGUACCAGGGUGACACCCUCCCUGGGUAGGCUGAAGGCACCGAGCAUGGUAGGGAAAGGGGAAACACUCUGGUACUUUUCCAUCAAGAGCCAAUCACGAGCAGGAUUGAGUUCCUGUUGUAGGACGGACACGAUGACCGUGCCCUAUGAAAUGCACCUGCGUCUGUCACUGGGAGCAUUUGGGGAAUUACUGUUGCUUUUCGUGACUCUCCUAGUGGUAAGGCGGCUUCAGAGAUGCGGACAAUAAUUAUCUCUCUCUGUCAGGUAUCUCUAUACGUAAGAUCUCUGUAUGUAAGAUAUCUCCAUAUGUAAGAACUCUAUCUGAAUGUAAGCCACAGAGGGUGAAACAAUAACAUAACAGCAACAAAAGCUCUCAGUUUUCUUAAAUGGCUCAUUCAAGGUCACGAAUGAACUGACAGAAGAAACAAGAAUUCCUCUACAUUAAAUUUUUUUAUUAUAGUCUUCUAAUCCCACUGGAUAAAUCUUAUAUUGAGGGUAUCCUUAUGAAAAUAGCCAAUUUAUAAGGGUUUAUCCUGGUGUAAAAUUGAGGGGAAGGAGCUGCAGUAGUGUAUUCUAGAGGUAGGGUGUCCUCCUCCCCUUACAUGGAGAAAGAAAGACCACUGAAAAGGACACCAGGUCAGUAAAAGUCAUGUGGUCAGUAGCUUUAACGGGAACAUUCCUUAAGUAGCAAUAAUACACAGGGAAAGCCAAGGAAUAAAGUAGAGCAAAUGAUCAUAAAAUAAUCAGAGCCAAGGCUGGAUCUAAACCUAUUCAAAUACAAACUUUCCAAAAUGAGCAUUAGAGUAUUUUGCUCUCCAGAUAAAUUUCUCCCACUCAUUUCACUUUCAACAUUUUCCCCCUUCAGAAGCCCAAAAGAACUGAAGAAAUGUCCUUACUGUACAUUAUAUGAAUGUUAGAAGAUAAACUUAAAGCCGUGUUAGAAAAAAAUCCCAAUUUCCUUAAGUGUUUCUUGGUCUCAUUCUUCAUCGCGGGCCACAUCUCAUGGCGGACCUCUCCGAGCAUGCAGCCAAACAUCAGUUCUUUUCCUCAAGCUCAGCAGUUAAAACCUCUGCUCAACCCUGGUCCUGAACACUUGGGCCACAGAAGAUAAAAGGCACAAGGAAAGUAGUUUUCCCAGCUCAACUUGAUUACUUGGAAGAAAGGGCCUUGCUUCCUGCUCACACCCACCAGGGGCAUUUCGCCGGAAAGAAGAGAGUAUUAAGUACACUACUCCACUGGUACAGAAUCCAACCAACUCUGAGAGAUUGUGGAGGAAGAGGCUGUGUAGUCGAGAAGCCCUGUGGAGACCUCGGGAGGCCAGUUUUAACAUUCACACUCAUUCACUCAUUCGGCAGUAGAGCCCCUGGUGGGCCCUGCAGAGGUCCACACCUGGGUAUCUGGGGUCCACCUUCUAGCUCUGCUCCCAUUAUGUUCUCUAGCUCCGGGAGGAUGUUUUUCACAUCUUUCCCACUUGGCAUCCUAAGCAAACGUAUCUUAUUUCAAGAGCUGGGAAGUAAAUCCACACUGCUUACAAGAGAAGCAAGCUAGCAUCCACAAGCCACCAGGUAAAAGCUCGCCAGCACUCCAGCCAGGAGGUGUGAGUUCCAGAAGGGCAGAACUCACAUCAGUGGUAGAAUUCUAAUACAAGAACCUGUCUGAAUCACCAUGGAUGGACAGGAGCAGCCCUUGACUUUCAAUCUAAAUACCUUUCCUCGUUUAAGAGCAGGUCAGGGACACAGGAGACCAACUUUCUACAGAGAGGGCUCAACGAGGCAGCCUGUGACCCAUCUUUAAUAGAAAUGGAUGCCUACCUCAUCUCAAGUUCUGUUGUAAGUCCCUGUAUGACAGAAUAAAGUUAAGAAGGAGAGGUCUGUGGUGUCAUGUAAGCAGCUAGUGGAGGCUCAGGGCUUUGUGAUUUUAAAUGGCUACUGUGGUCUAUGGGGAAACUGCAUCUCUCUGGCACUCCUGAUGUCAGCCACUCUGCCAACUGUCUGAAGACAGGGUAAUUGUCACUCUUCUCGCCAUAACUUCUUGUUUUCGGAUCAGUGGCUGGCAGGUUUAUCUGCUUCUGAGCAGCCUCAGAACCACGUCAGUGACACCGGCUACGUCAGCAGGAGCAAUUGGAAAGGAGGAAGAUGCCACUGCCAACAGCAGUGGGAGAGAAAAUUCUAGCCUUACAGAUCAGGUGAUUCUUCUGUCUGUCUCUCUGCAGCAUAACAGACGCGGCUUCCAGUGACUCUAGAGUCUAUGAGGUUCUGUCACCUUCCUGAGGUUUGGCGAGUAUAAGAGUGUUUUGAGUUUCACCUCCAAAGCCCUUGCCGUCCACCCACUCUUAUUUAGUAAACAGUGGGUUUCAAGAGUGCCAGAGUAUAGAACAUCGAUUCAGACGUGUCUAAAGCUACACCAAAUACACCUCGGCCGGCUGCCUCCUGGCUCACUCUGUGCCAUUGAUAAUUCUAGCUGCUUUCACUGUUGUCACUGGUGUGAUCCACAUGACAUCAUAAUCACCCUCAAUUUGAUUAGUAUCCAUGGAAGGAUGGCACUCUGUAGCUUAUUUUGAAGGUAGAUUUAAAAGCCUCUGCUCUCUAAGACAGCAAUCCUUUAAAGUUCACAGCUACGAAAGGAUGAUUCAGUUCUACUGUGAAAUAGUCACCUCUGGUCCAAAGCAAUGUUAAGGUGAUUGACACACACAUGGCCAAUAUGCUCUAGCAGAUUCUGUUUGUAUGGAAGAAAAAUAUGCUAAGGUAAAAGUGAGUUCAAAGUGAAAUACUGUGUACGACGCAGAUAUAUUCACAGGUGAAAGAAUUACCCUGCUAGAAGAGCACAGUGAUUCUUACUUUCUGAAAAACUGAAAGAUACUGUCAAUUUAUUUGUGUGUGUGUGUGUGUGCAGAGAUCAAGUUUAUGUUUUCAGAGUUCCAAUAAAUCGUUUCAUCUAAUUCAUGGCUAAUGAGGAACAGUGUCAAAUUCAUCUGCAUGGGCUCCUAAUAUUCUAACCUCUGGAGCAGACCUCACGCCUCCAUUGCGAGUUAAACUUAACAUUACAUAAUGACAAUUACCAGCAACUUACUGAGCAGCCACAGGCAAGUCAUUUGAUUUCCUGUACUUCUCUCUGUUCCAAGCAAAAAUAAGAUGAAGAUAGUACUUAAGCCGCCUCAUGUAAGCUACCUCACAGUCCUUAAAAAAUAUUCCAGGUAAUUAUGAUGAAGAAAGAACUGAUGUGGCUAUACUUGGGAGUCACCCCCUGGCAACCCCAGCUCUCCCUCUAAGCUGUGCAGAUACUCAGCUCUCUGCAACAGGACUAUUUAUCAGGGUGCUGGAACUCCACAGACUCUCUAGAUUGGCUUUAAAAAGAGUUCCAUUUACUCUGAUCUCCAGAAAACCGGGUAAGACAAAGUUAAACAACCCCUGGCAUGUUAAGCCUUGGCUACAGGUGUUCUCAAAUACAACACUACCGCCCAGCACAGAGAAAGCUGGGAAGAUGGCUAUAGAAGCCAAGACAAGCAGCCUAGACCGAAGACUCGAAGUCAGGCUCUGGAUUCCUAACCUUAACUCCUUGAGUCUCAUCUUCAAGCUGCCUCAAUCUGCCCAAAGAAAAUUUCCUCAAUUAUCUGUGCCUAGAUUUUUAAUAAUAAUAAACAAACAAACAAACAACAAAUAUGGCUGAGGCGGGCAUAAAACCAGAAGCACCUGUGCUGUCAGCCAUUCACUAUUGAGGACACCUGUUGGAGGAAAAGCAAAAGGGUCCCAGGAGCUCUGGGAAGAGCAGGUAGCUUGCUGGGCCCUGAGAGCAUGGGUGGGGUGUGUACAGUGUAAAGAUGAACCAGGACAAAGGAGAAGGGCUUCUGGCCUCUCCGACGUAUUAGGAGAGUGGUUGGUCUUCUCCAUCCCUCAAACAAGACCCAAGACUGAGCCUUGACCAAGGAACCAUGUUUGAAGAAGAGAUAAGGGAAGUAUGGAUGGGUCUGAAAAGAAUUUGAAAGAAACUCUGCAAAGCGGGAGGGAGCAUUCCAAAAGAUGGACAUAGCCAAGUUGUCAUCCUCUAUGACCAGAACAGAAAGAAGCAGGGUGCCCUUAAAGAGGACAGUGCAAGGAGCUCAUCAUGAGGCACAGCCCACAUUAAAGGAAGGGGAUACACAAAGGGCAUCAAGAAUCCCAGAAGGCAGCAAUCACUGGAGACCAUCACAAAGGUCACCUCCCACUCUGUAACUUUGAGGAUGAAGACUUGGUCCAGAGAGGGAAGAAACCACACAUCUCUGUAACAAAUCUGAAAGAAUCAAAGCCACCCAACAAAGAAUGCCAGUAUAGGAAUUCUGGUCCAGAGACCGGCUCCUUGGAAUUAAUAAUGUAGGUCAAUCAAACCUGCCUGAGAAAGUCAGAUAACCUCUCCUUCCUGCACUAAAGAUAAGGAAAA